rnacentral:rRNA from 1 species
CGAACGAAGAAGUAAGCUUGCUUACUUCUUAGUGGCGAACGGGUGAGUAAUACAUAAGCAAUCUGCCCAUAUGCCUGGGAUAACCGUUGGAAACGAUGGCUAAUACCGGAUAGUUGACCCGAAGGCAUCUUCGGAUUAUUAAAGUUGGGAUACAACACAUAUGGAUGAGCUUAUGGCGCAUUAGCUAGUUGGUGAGGUAACGGCUCACCAAGGCGAUGAUGCGUAGCCGACCUGAGAGGGUGACCGGCCACACUGGGACUGAGACACGGCCCAGACUCCUACGGGAGGCAGCAGUGGGGAAUUUUCCGCAAUGGGGGAAACCCUGACCGAGCAACGCCGCG